rnacentral:ncRNA from 1 species
AACUCCCUACCAAACUGAAGCCUGACGUUAUGCGUCAGAGAUAAGUAGGAAUGGCGGGGAGUU